UCUGGGAACACACAGUUCCUCAGGCGGCGGCUUAGCACCCAGACAGGACCUUUGUGCUCAUUAAGAACGAAGGCCUCCAGGCUCCAGCAGCUCUGAACAAGCAGAGCAGAGAGGCUGGAUUCCAGCGCCGACCCACUCAGCGGGGUGGCCUUGUGCCGGAGAGGUACUGCUCCAAGACAGCCCUGCUGACCCAUGGGUGGACAAGAUAUAUUUCCUCCCAAGGAGCUGACAGUCUGUGCAAUUCAACAAUCAAGGAAACCCGCAUAGUUGACCUGGAUAUAAAUGCCUGGACAUUCUACUAUCGUCGUUUCCAGGACAGGAACCCCCACCGUGUAUGAUGGAUGAGACCAGGAGAUGGUGAGGAUCCCAUCCAAGGAUAAGAUUCAAAGAUUAAAAAUCUCUAAAUUUCA